rnacentral:rRNA from 1 species
UACGGGGGGGGCAAGCGUUGUUCGGAAUUACUGGGCGUAAAGGGCUCGUAGGCGGCCAACUAAGUCAGACGUGAAAUCCCUCGGCUUAACCGGGGAACUGCGUCUGAUACUGGAUGGCUUGAGGUUGGGAGAGGGAUGCGGAAUUCCAGGUGUAGCGGUGAAAUGCGUAGAUAUCUGGAGGAACACCGGUGGCGAAGGCGGCAUCCGGGACCAAUUCUGACGCUGAGGAGCGAAAGCCAGGGGAGCAAACGGG